GAAAGCCGAGGUCUUUGGGAGGAAAGGCCUUGUCCUUUCAGGCUUCCAAGACAACAGCUAAGGUUGGCCUUUGGUUGGAGACAAGUCUCUAGGCCAGACACUGGAGUUUCAGCAUUGAGACCAAGAGGUAGGCCAAGAUCGGGAUGUAUGGAAGGCCCGUUGCUGGUAGGAAGGCACAGCUUCUCUAGGGGACCCCAGGAACUCCUGUAACUGGCUCUCCCAUUGGGAUGAACCCCAUUUGUGGGCUCAUAAAGCGGCCUCCUAACUCCACCCAGUCCCCGAGCCUGAGGACAUGAGCAGUGGUCUAAAGUCUCACCUAGUCCCAUUUUACAGACUAAUUUGAUUGUCCGGCCCUAGAAUUCUAUAGAAACAACAAUAAUGAAAAGUUGAAAUUCCUUAGAAUAUGCAGAGGGAGGGGAUGACUCACACGGUGCUAAACACAUUUUAUUAAAAAUAUAUAUUGUUAAAUUAAGUCUGCUGUCUGGACAAUGAUGUUCUGUUUUGUUUUCUUGUAGUGGAGUUUAAAAGAGACUAUUAUUUUACUCUGAUAUAUUAUUAUUAAAAAGGCAUUUUAACUUUGUACUUGAAAACUAAGUGAACGAUUUCACGUGUUUUAGCUGAGGCAUCGAAGUAUCGGGUGCUUACUUGUGGGAAAUCAUGUAUUCAUACUACAAAAUAAACUCCGUGGCUGGUUUGGUAAUAACUUUUACUGUUACAGACGAUUUCGCUUUGACCCCGGUGGCAGAGCACUUUUACUCCACAUUCCACGCAGCUAAGUGCAGGACCUUCCAGAACCUUCCCCUAGUCCCCCUCGGUCCUCUUUCCGUUCCUCUUCCUAUCUCUCUCUUUUCCUAUUUUUUCUUUUUAAAUUGUCGUUUGUUUUCCCUGGUCCCAGCUUCCUUCUACCACUGUAUUUUUUUGUUAGGGUUGCUUCUCUAUUUAUUGACAGUAAUACUGUACAUUUCACAGUCUGGUUCUGGGGCAGCCAGGAGGGGUGUGGGGGGCUGCGCACAGCUUGCCGCACCAUCCGGUGUCCCGUUGUAUCUCUGUGUACGUGAUGCUUGUGACAUAGCUGUUGAAGAAAUAAUUAAAAAGGUCAAUGCGUACAGCAGGUGUAGACAGUCCGUCAGUUCCGCUUUCAUCACUUUUCUUUUUCUUUUUUUUUUUUUUUUUUUUGUGCCCAGAAGAAUAUAAUAAAGCUCCUUUCUAAUGUACUUGUGCUGGAGAACACUUGAAUAAAUGGACUGUUUUUGUGCAAAAAGAAAAAUGGAAAACGAAAAGCACCGUCAUAAUGUCCUUUUGUCCUGCGACUCCUUUCCCCUGAUGUGACAGCUCGCGGUCCUCCAGUGGGCUGAAGUGGGUGUGCAUAAUAUCUGGGGGGCGUCUGGGGAAUGGAUUUCUAACGCAGCUCUCGAGUGGGUGUUAACUAGGGGCUGGGACCCAAGGGCAGAGGGAGUUUGGCUCAAGAUCAAAGAGUCGGACAAAGAUGAAGUUGUCUGGUUGACUUCCAGACACAGCAGAUGUCUUGAGACCAGAACAGGAAGCAGAUCAGCAUCCUGGUUAGGUGGCAGGAGAACCAGUGGGGACUUACCGAUGCCAGGCUCAGAAGGAAGAAGUGAGGAAAGGAGGGAGACAGCUGGGCCCUGGGGGAACCCUAGAAGAACCUCGGGUUUAAAGGCAAUCUUUGCCAACACGUGACAGGUAACCCAAGGGCUGGGGCCAGUGGCCAACAGGCUACUGCUGGUCUGAGUGUAGGCUCUCUGGCAGGGCCUUAUGGCCUGAGGUGUUAUUGCCCAUGGUGUCUCUGUCUCACCUUUCUAGAAGGUCAGUCUGAAUGCAGAGUCUGUCUGUCCCCCAUAUCUCCGGGAGUAGCCAGUAGGCUUGGCCUGGGUUUCCACUCCUAAGGAUUGUUCAGGCUGUCUCCUCCCCCAGGCUUUUGGGCGGGUUUGGGAUAGCAGACACACUGUGUGGGGAUCCUUGAGCAGAUGGGGAAAGCUCGGCUAGACAGGUUUUCUCAUGGGCACUUUUUCUUGCUUUUUUCCCUUUGACAAGGUUGUAAAUGUAUAUUUGGCUUUUACUCUACUUCUUUUCUCGAUGUUUUUCAAUGUUGAUGUGGAAUCUUACUUUCAAAUGGCUGCAUGGUAUUUUCUUGUUGAAUGUUUGUUUAUAUAUAUUUUAUUUUCGCUAUAAAUAGAGCUUCAAUAAACAUCUUUAUGUUUUGGCUUCCCCCUU
rnacentral:lncRNA from 1 species